AAUAGAUACCCGGGUAGUCCACGCCGUAAACGAUGAGUGCUAAGUGUUGGGGGGUUUCCGCCCCUCAGUGCUGCAGCUAACGCAUUAAGCACUCCGCCUGGGGAGUACGGCCGCAAGGCUGAAACUCAAAGGAAUUGACGGGGGCCCGCACAAGCGGUGGAGCAUGUGGUUUAAUUCGAAGCAACGCGAAGAACCUUACCAGGUCUUGACAUCCCGCUGCCCGGUAUAGAGAUAUAUCUUUCCCUUCGGGGACAGCGGUGACAGGUGGUGCAUGGUUGUCGUCAGCUCGUGUCGUGAGAUGUUGGGUUAAGUCCCGCAACGAGCGCAACCCUUGAUCUUAGCUGCCAGCAUUUAGUUGGGCACUCUAAGGUGACUGCCGGUGACAAACCGGAGGAAGGUGGGGAUGACGUCAAAUCAUCAUGCCCCUUAUGACCUGGGCUACACACGUGCUACAAUGGAUGGUACAAAGGGCUGCAAGACCGCGAGGUUUAGCCAAUCCCAUAAAACCAUUCUCAGUUCGGAUUGCAGG
rnacentral:rRNA from 1 species